ACACACAAAUAGAUAGCACAUAGAAUAUCAGAGUAGAUAAUUG
rnacentral:guide_RNA from 1 species